CCUACGGGAGGCAGCAGUAGGGAAUCUUGCGCAAUGGGCGAAAGCCUGACGCAGCGACGCCGCGUGAGGGAAGAAGGCCUUCGGGUCGUAAACCUCUGUCCUUGGGGACGAUGAUGACGGUACCCAAGGAGGAAGCCCCGGCUAACUACGUGCCAGCAGCCGCGGUAAU
rnacentral:rRNA from 1 species